rnacentral:rRNA from 1 species
CGUUUGGUUUGAGGAGUGGCGGACGGGUGAGUAACACUUGGGUAACCUACCCAUCAAAUGGGGAUAACACUUGGAAACAGGUGCUAAUACCGCAUAACAGUUUAUGCCGCAUGGCAUAAGAGUGAAAGGCGCUUUCGGGUGUCGCUGAUGGAUGGACCCGCGGUGCAUUAUGUAGUUGGUGAGGUAACGGCUCACCAAGGCCACGAUGCCUAACCGACCUGAGAGGGUGAUCGGCCACGCUGGGACUGAGACACUCCCCAGACUCCUACGGGAGGCAAAUCUUCGGAAUCUUCGGCAAUGGACGAAAGUCUGACCGAGCAACGCCGCGUGAGUGAAGAAGGUUUUCGGAUCGUAAAACUCUGUUGUUAGAGAAGAACAAGGACGGUAUGAACUGAACGUCCCCUGACGGUAUCUAACCAGAAAGCCACGGCUAACUACGUGCCAGCAACCGCGGUAAUACGUAGGUGGCAAGCGUUGUCCGGAUUUAUUGGGCGUAAAGCGAGCGCAGGCGGUUUCUUAAGUCUGAUGUGAAAGCCCCCGGCUCAACCGAUUGAGGGUCAUUGGAAACUGAGAGACUUGAGUGCAGAAGAGGAGAGUGGAAUUCCAUGUGUAUGCGGUGAAAUGCGUAAGAUAUAUGGAGUGAACAACAGUGACUUAACUGCGGCUCUCUGUGUACUGCUAGCUGACGCAGAGCGCUGCGAAAGCGUGCAGGAGUCUAAACUAGCGCACUGAGAUACCCCUGG